GACGAACGUUGGCGGCGUGCUUAAUACAUGCAAGUCAACUGAAGCAGUGGUAGCAAUAUCGCUGUGGAGGUGGCGCACGGGUGAGUAACACGUAGGUAAUCUGCCUUCAGGUCUGGCAUAACUCCGGGAAACCGGGGCUAAUAGCAGAUGAUGCAGCGGCUCGACAUCGAGACAGUUGUUAAAGCUAUGGCGCCUGAAGAUGAGCCUGCGUCUGAUUAGCUAGUUGGCGGGGUAACGGCCCACCAAGGCAACGAUCAGUAGCUGGUCUGAGAGGAUGAUCAGCAACAAGGGAACGGAGACACGGCCCAGACUACUCCGGGAGGCAGAAGAAAGGAAUAUUGCUCAAUGGGAAAAACCAUAAAGCAGCACCGCGGAGGGAGGACCGAAGGGCUUUGGAUUGAAAACCUCUGUAGAGAGAAAAAAAACCCCCAUUCUUGGGGACAUGAUGGUACCUAAAAAGAAACCCCCGGCUAACUACGUG
rnacentral:rRNA from 1 species